GCCCACGUGGUGUAAUAGUUUGAGUGUUGGACUGUAACUCUAGAGACCAGGGUUCGAUUCCCAGCUUGGCCA